AAUAAGUGCAGUUAUAAGUUUCCGCGCCCAACUUUGAUCGUCUGUCUUAUUUGAAAUGUUUUUAUAAUUAGCAUUUUUGUUGCUAUGAGAUGAUAAUACAUGAAUAGUACUUUACUUGUGAGUUAUGUUUGUAGUAUUUUUUUGAAAAAAUUUCAAAUAAGACGAACAAUCAAAGUUGGACACGAAAAACUAUGACUGCACUUAUU
rfam:Oryza glaberrima chromosome 11 Oglab11_0275_11, whole genome shotgun sequence.